rnacentral:rRNA from 1 species
GAUGAACGCUGGCGGCGUGCUUAACACAUGCAAGUCGAACGAAAAGGCCCUGCUUUUGUGGGGUGCUCGUGUGGCGCGGGGGUGUGAAACACGUGUGUAUACCCCACUUAUCUGUGUGAUAACUUCUCGAAACUGCGGAUCAUACCGGAGAGAAUCUCCUGCUCCGUGGUGUGCGUUAGAGAGUUUCGGCUGUUGGGUCUAGUCUCGAGGCUUCUCAGCUUGUUGGGGGGGUAGUGGCGUACCAAGGCUUUGACGGGUAGCCGGCCUGAGAGGGUGACCGGCCACAAUGGGACUGAGAUACGGCGCAGACUCCUACGGGAGGCAGCAGUGGGGAAUAUUGCACAAUGAGCGGAAGCCUGAUGCAGCGACGCCGCGUGCGGGAUAACGGCCUUCGGGUUGUAAACCGCUUUCUCCGGAGAUGAAGCGUUAGUGACGGUACCUGGUCAAGAAGCACCGGCUAACUACGUG